rnacentral:rRNA from 1 species
AUGCACGCUGGCGGCGUGCCUAUACAUGCAAGUCGAGCGAACGGACGCGAAGCUUGCUUCUCUGAUGUUAGCGGCGGACGGGUGAGUAACACGUGGAUAACCUACCUAUAAGACUGGGAUAACUUCGGGAAACCGGAGCUAAUACCGGAUAAUAUUUUGAACCGCAUGGUUCAAAAGUGAAAGACGGUCUUGCUGUCACUUAUAGAUGGAUCCGCGCUGCAUUAGCUAGUUGGUAAGGUAACGGCUUACCAAGGCAACGAUGCAUAGCCGACCUGAGAGGGUGAUCGGCCACACUGGAACUGAGACACGGUCCAGACUCCUACGGGAGGCAGCAGUAGGGAAUCUUCCGCAAUGGGCGAAAGCCUGACGGAGCAACGCCGCGUGAGUGAUGAAGGUCUUCGGAUCGUAAAACUCUGUUAUUAGGGAAGAACAUAUGUGUAAGUAACUGUGCACAUCUUGACGGUACCUAAUCAGAAAGCCACGGCUAACUACGUG